rnacentral:rRNA from 1 species
GACGAACGCUGGCGGCGUGCUUAACACAUGCAAGUCGAGCGGAAAGGCUCCUUCGGGAGUACUCGAGCGGCGAACGGGUGAGUAACACGUGGGUAAUCAACCCCUGACAUCGGGAUACCCCGGGGAAACCCGGAUCAAUACCGAAUAAGGUGCGGAGUCGCUGGACGCCGUACCAAAGGUAGCUUCGGCCUCCGGUCAGGGACGAGCCCGCGGCCCAUUAGCUUGUUGGCGGGGUAAUGGCCCACCAAGGCGACGAUGGGUAGCUGGUCUGAGAGGGCGAUCAGCCACACUGGGACUGAGACACGGCCCAGACUCCUACGGGAGGCAGCAGGGGGGAAUAUUGCGCAAUGGGCGAAAGCCUGACGCAGCAACGCCGCGUGCGGGAAGAAGGCUCUCGGGUCGUAAACCGCUUUCAGCAGGGACGAAGCUUCCGGGGUUAAUAGCCUACGGGGUGACGGUACCUGCAUAAGAAGCCCCGGCUAACUACGUGCCAGCCGCCGCAGUAAUAC